CGCACCUCGGACUUUCGAGCGGGUGGAAUUUCACCCGCUCGACACCCUCUCCUCCCGUCGUAUUUCACCCUUUUCCUUCUCUGCAGCUGCUCCUCCCUGACAAAGAAACUUCUCACCGUCUUCUCACCGUCGCACCAAAGGCCUUUCUCAACGUCGCUGCUCCGCCAUUUCUGCUCCGCUCCUCUGCCGAUUCGCCAACGCCACAGUCGCCUCUCAUCUCCUGCUUAGAAACCUGAUGCGAAGGCGCAAGCCUUGAAAGCAGCAAACAAAGUGAAGUCAGGGCAAAUAAAAAGAAUAUUAAGGCAGCUGUUAGGACAAAAAAGCGCAGGCUUGAAGAUGCCAAGUUGAUUCAUUUGCAGGGUUUUCUCUUUCAUUAAUUCAACCUUGAGAAACAAGCUGAUCAGUUAAUCCUGACCUCUCUGUUGCCGGAAUAGAGAGAUUGGUUUGAUAAGAAUUAAGAUUUGGCGUGCUUCGAUGGAGACCGUGGAGAGGUGGGGAGGAUCAUGAAGAGGUUUCACAGCAAGGGAGUGCACUUUAUGGCUAAGAUGUAGAGUUUGGUUGUUGAAUUUUUAGGGUUUGGGGGAGUUGGUACUCGUUAAUACAGAGUCUGCAGUGUAUAUGCGUUCUGUUCUGGUUUCAUGGCCGACCAUAUGCUGUUAUUUGGUAGUAUUGUACACAAUGAAAUGAAGUGAUAAUUUAUUGGUAAA